rnacentral:tRNA from 1 species
GAAGUAUAAGAUAUAAGAAAAAGCUUCUAACUUUAAUCUUUAGCGGUGAAACUCCGUUAAUAUUUCU